CCUCUAUAACCAGGAGGGCGGAGAACAGUUUUUUUAAAGCACAAACUGAUAUUUUCCUAUAGUGAAAUGACUCCAGCAGCUGGGCUUUGAGAAAAGCAUCAGAUAUUACAAGACUUGGAAAAAAUUCUGAACGAUUGCAAUGCUGUAAAUGUAAAGAGGACCAAGUUGAGCAAGAAAGGAACAGCAGAAGAGAUAUGAAUGGGCUUUGCUGAGGAUUUAAAGUUUGAAGAGAGUCACACCCCAAGGGAAUUUUUUUCAAUCUUAGUACUUCAACCUAAAGCUAAAUUCCUUGUUCUGUGUAAUACCUGGUUACAUUUAGCACAAAUAAACAGCAGCCACGAACUCGUGACCAGUCAUUUAUACCGAAAGACUAAAACCCGACCUCAGCUACCAACCAUUGCAGUAACAAUUUAGAGUUGGAUGCUGAAAGGUAUAUGUUCAGCACCUCCCAUGGAUCAGGGCCAACAGCAUGAGCAACCACCGGCAAUGAAAAGAGAGAUUACAUCUGCCUGCAGUAACCCUUUGCAGUCACUACAGGAACAGUUGCUUUGGGAAUGGAAUUGUCUUCGUUACACUAUAAGACUGUAUAACCAGAAAUUUCAAUCAGG
rnacentral:lncRNA from 1 species